rnacentral:ncRNA from 1 species
CGUCUGCCCGGCGCCGCGCACGCGCGUCCCCUGUGACGGGGCGCCUGGGAGGUUGAGCCCCCCGUCCGGCCCGGACCCUGUCGGCCCACGAGGCGCGGUCAACGAGUCGGGUUGUUUGGGAAUGCAGCCCAAAUCGGGCGGUAGACUCCGUCCAAGGCUAAAUACAGGCGAGAGACCGUUAGCGAACAAGUACCGCGAGGGAAAGAUGAAAAGGACUUUGAAAAGAGAGUCAAAGAGUGCUUGAAAUUGCCGGGAGGGAAGCGGAUGGGGGCCGGCGAUGCGCCCCGGCCGUAUGCGG